AUUGAACGCUGGCGGCAUGCCUUACACAUGCAAGUCGAACGGCAGCGGGGGAGAAGCUUGCUUUUCCUGCCGGCGAGUGGCGAACGGGUGAGUAAUACAUCGGAACGUGCCCUGUAGUGGGGGAUAACUAGUCGAAAGAUUAGCUAAUACCGCAUACGACCUGAGGGUUAAAUGGGGGGACCGCAAGGCCUCAUGCUAUAGGAGCGGCCGAUGUCUGAUUAGCUAGUUGGUGGGGAAAAGGCCUACCAAGGCGACGAUCAGUAGCUGGUCUGAGAGGACGAUCAGCCACACUGGGACUGAGACACGGCCCAGACUCCUACGGGAGGCAGCAGUGGGGAAUUUUGGACAAUGGGCGAAAGCCUGAUCCAGCAAUGCCGCGUGUGUGAAGAAGGCCUUCGGGUUGUAAAGCACUUUUGUCCGGAAAGAAAUGGCUCUGGUUAAUACCUGGGGUCGAUGACGGUACCGGAAGAAUAAGGACCGGCUAACUACGUGCCAGCAGCCGCAGUAA
rnacentral:rRNA from 1 species